rnacentral:miRNA from 1 species
UUCCAACGAGUCGGCAGCGCU